GUGGGGGAUAUUGCACAAUGGGGGAAACCCUGAUGCAGCGACGCCGCGUGGAGGAAGAAGGUUUUCGGAUUGUAAACUCCUGUCGUUAGGGACGAUAAUGACGGUACCUAACAAGAAAGCACCGGCUAACUACGUGCCAGCAGCCGCGGUAAAACGUAGGGUGCAAGCGUUGUCCGGAAUUACUGGGUGUAAAGGGAGCGCAGGCGGGAAGACAAGUUGGAAGUGAAAACCAUGGGCUCAACCCAUGAAUUGCUUUCAAAACUGUUUUUCUUGAGUAGUGCAGAGGUAGAUGGAAUUCCCGGUGUAGCGGUGGAAUGCGUAGAUAUCGGGAGGAACACCAGUGGCGAAGGCGGUCUACUGGGCACCAACUGACGCUGAGGCUCGAAAGCAUGGGUAGCAAACAGGAUUAGAAACCCCAGUAGUCCG
rnacentral:rRNA from 1 species